rnacentral:rRNA from 1 species
AUACGGAGGGUGCAAGCGUUAUCCGGAUUCAUUGGGUUUAAAGGGUGCGCAGGCGGAAUGAUAAGUCAGUGGUGAAAUCCUACAGCUUAACUGUAGAACUGCCAUUGAUACUGUCAUUCUUGAGUACACUUGAAGUGGGCGGAAUGUAUCAUGUAGCGGUGAAAUGCAUAGAUAUGAUACAGAACUCCGAUAGCGAAGGCAGCUCACUAAAUUGUAACUGACGCUCAGGCACGAAAGCGUGGGGAGCAAACAGGAUUAGAAACCCGAGUAGUCC